UUAUUAGGCAGAGUCUUGGUCUGUCACCCAGGCUGGAGUGCAAUGGCUCCAUCUCAGCUCACUGCAACCUCCGUCUCCCAGGUUCAAGCAAUUCUCGUGCCUCAGCCUCCCAAGUAGCUAAGACUACUGGCACGUGCCACCACACCUGACUAAUUUUUGCAUUUUUUUUAAGUAGAGGCGGGGUUUCACGAUGUUGGCCAGGCUGGUCUCAAACUCCUGACUUCAUGUGAUCCACCCUUCUCGGCCUCCCAGAGUGCUGGGAUUACAAGCGUGAGACACAAUGCGUGCUGGGCCUAACAGUGUUCCCAUUCUCAACUCAUAGAUCUGGUUUAUAAAAGUCAGUCAGAUAUUUUCUAGACCAUAUAAAUGUCAGUCACAAUAUUUAUCAAAAUGAUCACUCACUUUAAAUUUAGCUGUGGUACAGACUGUGAACCACUUACGCUUAGUUUGACAGAGCAGAUGUGAGGAUCAAUGUUUAUCUUCAUAAUUAUGUCAUAAAGUUCUUACAUCUCAAAGACUGUGUGCUUACAUUCACAAAAUUCUAGAACUCGACAUGUAUAAUUCGACAGAUUUUCUCUUCCAACUGAUGUGAUGUAUCAAGAUGAGCAACAAAAGAAGAAUCCCAAGAUAAUCACGUAAUUAUGUUAGGAGAGAUUCUCAGUUCGAUCUAAUCCUGUCUAAACAGGCUGAAAGAAAUUAGUCACUCAGAAUUAUAUGAAAGGCUCUAUUGAGGCUUGCAAUGGUAAACAACAGACCCUGGAGUAUGGGGACAACACCAAGGUACUGCCAUACUUGAGGAGGAGAUGGCAUUUCUCAGCCAAUCUUGGCAGAUUGAGGUACUGCAAAAAUCAUGAGCAGAAGACUUUAUGCCAUUGAAUGCCAUUGAGACUGUCAGUAUAACAAAGGACAGCUGUUUGUUUUUCUUCUGCUUUUCAUGGGCCAGUAUCAACUAAAGAUUGUCAAUUUUUAAGACCUUACUUAAGGA
rnacentral:lncRNA from 1 species